rnacentral:lncRNA from 1 species
AAGUUACAGCACUGACAUUUCCCUGAAAGUUUUUAAGUUAUGACACUUUGCACAUGGCAGAACGACUACUGGAAUUUCAGACAAAGGCAAUGCAUGUUCUCGACCUGGACUUCUUUUGCAUGACAGAUGUUCACAGAAUGAAAAAAAAGGAAUGAGCAUAACACAGCCUUGUAAAUAGCCUGCGUUAGAAUGGUAGCUAUGCACACGUCAAAGUGUUUGAGAUGCACUUGGAAUGAACUCCUGGUAAGAGCACACGACAGGACAUUUUUUGAGCAAUAUACCAAGUCGAGAUCCAGUUAAUGUUCUGGUGAGGAUCUGAACACAGAGGCUCCAGAAACGGGGUCAGGAUAGGUGGGGGGAGGGGCAGACAGGUUUUACUGCAAGGUUUUACCGCCCCCAAAGUCCUAAGGGUUGGCUACCCCUCUACUAUAGUAAAUUAGGCCCUUGUUUCACAGUGACAAAAAAGUUCGUGUAGGCAGAACGAAUCCCAGCUCUUGCCCACCGCACUGCCAAAUACACUGCCAGAGCCCCAGCUUAUACAUGAUCUACAUAUCAAAGUAAGUUACAGGUGCCCGUAUCUGGAUUCAAAUAAUUAUAAGUACUACAUUAAUUGAGCCGCAGCAUUGAAAUGCUAUAGGCAUGCUAUAAGCA